GUGAGGGGCAGCUCGUGUCAUCUCUUCCCCCUGGCACUGGUUACAUACGCUAUCCAGAUUUUUGACAAAUUCAUUGCAGGGUAUAACUGCUGUCUUCUUUUUAUCGUCUUCCCUCCUCAUCCUAAACAGAAAUUCUUACCCGAAAACUGGGGAGAUUGAUUGAACAAUUGUCAAUUUUCUUUCUGAGUGGUUUCUUACAUUAUUUUGUCCCCUGUGAAGAGUGGGAUAUCCUAUCGGUUUCUAAUCUAUUGUUUUUGUGUGACCUCUCCAGGAAUCAAUUCUAUCAGAAAUGUUAUAUCAUGUUCUAUAACUAUUUUUACAACAUGUAAGCACUUCUCAGUCGGAAAGAGUUGUGUGCAUGGCAGGUAACUCAUUGUUUUUUUCCCUUUUUUGUUCAACCAUUGCUUCCUGUUAUUUCGAUCAAUAUAAUGAGAAUGUUUCUGAGGUCUUUAUUUUUAUGUGUUUUGUAUUUCUGUCUUCCUUCGAGUGUUUUCAGCUUAGGGACUAAAUUAGGAAAUGGCCUUCGAGGAUGCUGUUAUUUAGCGAAUAGCAGUCCUCGUCAAUGAUUCAUGUUACUUUAAAUUUAACAUGCUUAAAUUUUAAAAAUGUUGAUCUUGAUGUAUACACUCACAGCUUGCUUACAUUAAUUUCUUAUCUUGAUGUGACACCUUGAGUUUUUACUCUUUUAGUUUCUUUCCUUUUUGUAUUUUGGCGAUGGGUGACAACACUUUAUGCCGUUUGGCCUACAUAUGCAUCUUUAUCCAUGGUCAUCCUUGUAUACGGAUAUUUCUGCUUUGAAUAAGAGCAGCAAGAAAAACUUGUUCUCAUCUUUAAAGGGCUUCUCUUUAUGGCAGUAAAGCAGAAUUUUUUAUAGGCAUGCAUUCAAGAAGAUUCUGGAUCAGUUUUUUUGAAUUAAUUUUCGCGGGCCAAAAUUGAUGACUGGAUGAGAUGCCACUGAAUGUUUCUUCAACAUAUAGCUUCUAGUCUCAGAACUGCAAGUUCAACUAAAUUGAUCACAUUGGAGAAUCUUCUUUCCCGAUUUCAUAUAGUACAAGUGAAUCCUCCGCUGCAAUCUGAAAUUCAAUGCAACAAAAAUGUCCUAAAGAUGUUGGUUCU
rnacentral:lncRNA from 1 species